rnacentral:rRNA from 1 species
AUACGUAGGGGGCGAGCGUUGUCUGGAAUGAUUGGGCGUAAAGGGCGCGUAGGCGGCUUUGCAAGUCAGUAGUGGAAGUCCAUUUUUCAAGGAUGGAAGUGCUACAGAAACUGCGGAGCUUGAGUGCAGGAGAGGUUAUCGGAAUUCCCGGUGUAGCGGUGAAAUGCGUAGAGAUCGGGAGGAACACCGGUGGCGAAGGCGACUUUCUGGCUGACAACUGACGCUGAGGCGCGAAAGCGUGGGGAGCGAACAGGAUUAGAUACCCUGGUAGUCCACGCGGUAAACGAUGAAUGCUAGGUGUUGCGGGUAUCGACCCCUGCAGUGCCGGAGUAAACACAAUAAGCAUUCCGCCUGGGGAGUACGGCCGCAAGGUUGAAACUCAAAUGAAUUGACGGGG